UGGCCAUGUUGGUCAGGCUGGUCUCGAACU
rnacentral:piRNA from 1 species